rnacentral:rRNA from 1 species
AGAUUGAACGCUGGCGGCAUGCCUAACACAUGCAAGUCGAACGGGAGUAGCAAUACUCUAGUGGCGGACGGGUGAGGAAUACGUAGGAAUUUGCCCUUAAGUGGGGGAUAACCCGGGGAAACCCGGAUUAAUACCGCAUGACCUCGAAAGAGCAAAGUGGGGGAUCGCAAGACCUCACGCUUUUGGAGAAGCCUACGUCGGAUUAGCUAGUUGGUGAGGUAAUGGCUCACCAAGGCGACGAUCCGUAACUGGUCUGAGAGGAUGAUCAGUCACACCGGAACUGAGACACGGUCCGGACUCCUACGGGAGGCAGCAGUGGGGAAUAUUGGACAAUGGGCGCAAGCCUGAUCCAGCAAUGCCGCGUGUGUGAAGAAGGACCUUCGGGUUCGUAAA